UAGUGUGAACUGACAUCUGACUUUGAGUAUCCUAUCUCAAAACAAGAUUUAAAGUUGCCUGUGAGUUACCACGCACUUUGAUGUGAUGUUGAGGAACAAUAUGUACGGAUUAGUGCAUUUGCUCAACAAAUGUGGAUUCAGCUCUUGCAACAUCUCAAGUAUGCUUCUAUGCAUUGGGGAACCACAGUGAAUGGACAGAGAAGAUGCCUGCACUUAUGGAACUCCCAGCCUAGCUCACAGCUAAACGUCCUUGAGGUCUAUCCAAGUUGCUGGUGGAUUAAUAGUUAUUCCUCUUGAAUUGCUGAGCAGAAUCCCAGGUAUGAAUGUACCAGUUUGUUUACCCAUUCAUUCACUGAACGACAUUUCUGUUCCCUUUACACUCCUAAAUAUUGAUGACUCCAAGUCGCUUCUGUUUAAAUGUAUUAUAUAGACAUUUUCCACGUUAGAAAUUCAAACAAAGGCA
rnacentral:lncRNA from 1 species